UUAUGGCCAUACCACGCUGAAACACCGUACGAUCGCCGAAGUUAAGCAACGUCGGAUCUGGGCAGUACCUGGAUGGGUGACCGCUUGGGAAU